ensembl:snRNA U6 U6 spliceosomal RNA
AUGCUUGCUUUGGCAGCAUAUAUACUUAAAUUGGAACGAUACAGAGAAGAUUAGCAUGGCCCCUGUGCAAGGAUGACAUGCAAAUUCAUGAAGCGUUCCAUAUUUAA